GCUCAUAGUUAGGCAUUUUCGCAUACCCCGGUAAAUAAUUAAUGUCAAUCACAAGGUACCUAUUAUGAUCACUACUAUCUCUAAUCAGAUCAAAGUUAAAAAGCCUAAGCCCUGUUGCUUCCCUCAACCCAGCUGCCACAUGCAUCACAAAUUCCAAAGAUGGCAUUUCAACAUUACCCUCGUCGUCCCCUUGAGCUCCUGAAUUCGAAAUCUGUGAAAAGCUCGAAACCGCAUCCAAUUUCUUGACCUCCUCCGGCGCAAUGUCCGGCAGCGAUUUCCUCGUUACGCACACAACGCACUCCCCUACUACAUAAACUUUAAACACAACACCGCCAUGGUUGACA
rnacentral:misc_RNA from 1 species